rnacentral:misc_RNA from 1 species
GAUGAAGAACGUAGCGAAAUGCGAUAAGUAAUGUGAAUUGCAGAAUUCAGUGAAUCAUCGAAUCUUUGAACGCACAUUGCGCCCGCCAGUAUUCUGGCGGGCAUGCCUGUUCGAGCGUCAUUUCAACCAUCAAGCCCCCGGCUUGUGUUGGGGACCUGCGGCUGCCGCAGGCCCUGAAAAGCAGUGGCGGGCUCGCUGUCACACCGAGCGUAGUAGCAUACAUCUCGCUCUGGGCCUGCUGCGGGUUCCGGCCGUUAAACCACCUUCAUAACCCAAGGUUGACCUCGGAUCAGGUAGGAAGACCCGCUGAACUUAAGCAUAUCAAUAAGCGGAGGA